rnacentral:rRNA from 1 species
GACGAACGCUGGCGGCGUGCUUAACACAUGCAAGUCGAACGGAAAGGCCCUGCUUUUGUGGGGUGCUCGAGUGGCGAACGGGUGAGUAACACGUGAGUAACCUGCCCUUGACUUUGGGAUAACUUCCGGAAACUGGGGCUAAUACCGGAUAGGAGCUCCUGCUGCAUGGUGGGGGUUGGAAAGUUUCGGCGGUUGGGGAUGGACUCGCGGCUUAUCAGCUUGUUGGUGGGGUAGUGGCUUACCAAGGGUUUGACGGGUAGCCGGCCUGAGGGGGUGACCGGCCACAUUGGGACUGAGAUACGGCCCAGACUCCUACGGGAGGCAGCAGGGGGGAAUAUUGCACAAUGGGCGGAAGCCUGAGGCAGCAACGCCGCGUGCGGGAUGCAGGCCUUCGGGUAGUAAACCGCUUUCGCCUGUGACGAAGCGUGAGUGACGGUAAUGGGUAAAGAAGCACCGGCUAACUACGUG